rnacentral:rRNA from 1 species
CGAUGAAGCCUUCCGGGGUGGUAAAGACUCUUUCGGCGAGGAAGAUAGUGACGGUACCUGCAGAAGCAGCUGCGGCUAACUACGUGC